CCUACGGGAGUCUGCAGUGGGGAAUAUUGCGCCAUGUGCGAAAGCCUGACGCAGCGACGCCGCGUGAGGGAUGAAGGUCUUCGGAUCGUAAACCUCUGUCAGCAGGGAAGAACGGUCACUGUGCUAAUCAGCAGUGAAUUGACGGUACCUGCAAAGGAAGCACCGGCUAACUCCGUGCCAGCAGCCGCGGUAAUACGGAGGGUGCGAGCGUUAAUCGGAAUUACUGGGCGUAAAGCGCUCGUAGGCGGUAUGUCAAGUCAAGGGUGAAAUCCCCGCGCUCAACGUGGGAACUGCCUUUGAAACUGGCAAACUGGAGUGUGUGAGAGGAUAGUGGAAUUCCAGGUGUAGGAGUGAAAGCCGUAGAUAUCUGGAGGAACAUCAGUGGCGAAGGCGACUAUCUGGCACAUAACUGACGCUGAGGAGCGAAAGCGUGGGUAGCAAACAGGAUUAGAUACCCGGGUAGUC
rnacentral:rRNA from 1 species